rnacentral:rRNA from 1 species
AUUGAACGCUGGCGGCAGGCCUAACACAUGCAAGUCGAACGGUAACAGGAAGCAGCUUGCUGCUUCGCUGACGGGUGGCGGACGGGUGAGUCAUGUCUGGGAAACUGCCUGAUGGAGGGGGAUAACUACUGGAAACGGUAGCUAAUACCGCAUAACGUCGCAAGACCAAAGAGGGGGACCUUAGGGCCUCUUGCCAUCGGAUGUGCCCAGAUGGGAUUAGCUAGUAGGUGGGGUAACGGCUCACCUAGGCGACGAUCCGUAGCUGGUCUGAGAGGAUGACCAGCCACACUGGAACUGAGACACGGUCCAGACUCCUACGGGAGGCAGCAGUGGGGAAUAUUGGACAAUGGGCGCGAGCCUGAUGCAGCCAGGCCGCGUGUAUGAAGAAGGCCUUCGGGUUGUAAAGUACUUUCAGCGGGGAGGAAGGGAGUAAAGUUAAUACCUUUGCUCAUUGACGUUACCCGCAGAAGAAGCACCGGCUAACUCCGUG